UAACGUCGCUUUUAUUGAAGCGACUUUGCCUGAAUGGAGAAGGGUAUAGUAUAAUAGGUACAUAAUUAAUUUUUAAUAAAUAACAAUUAAGUAAUUAGAAAAAAUAUAAAUAUCAAAAUCUAUGAAUGGACUAGUUUUAGAGAAAGUAAAUUGAACAAACUCGGCCGGCUCUUUAUUCUUCGGCCGGCAACACUGAAAGAAAACAAAUCAGACGUUGACAUUGUGAUUACAGCGACAUUAAAGGUGACAAUUAUCUCUUUUCAAUUGAAUUAUGGCGUCAGUUUUUUCCAAAGUUUUGAAAACCAAAUUGAACAUUAAAUCGGUAAGAUUAAAGGUUCAGAAUUUGAUGGUUUGAUCGGAAUCAUACCGUUGUUAAAGUGGAUAAGAUCGUUUUAAUUAUUAANNNNNNNNNNNNNNNNNNNNNNNNNNNNNNNNNNNNNNNNNNNNNNNNNNNNNAAUAAAUAUAAUCAAAUCAGAUCGAAUAAAUUUUUAAUUGAACCGAAUCAAAUCAAUAAUAUAAAAAUUUUAAUUUCAUAAAUAUCACAUUAGAAUGUUAUUAUUAAUAAUUUCAUAUAACCCAGAUACUAAAUAGUAAAAUUUUAUGUGCAUUGCAGCCGCCGACAUGUGCUACUCUCUCCAAAUUUUAUCAUCUUCUCAUUUCUAAAUCAAAUUGUAGAAAGCAAGAAGUGGGCUCAUCUCAUUAUUCACGACAUAGAUUAUUUUAUCUAAUAAAAUAAUUUAAUAAAAAGUUAAUGCAACUAAUGAAAUAAAAAAUUAAUUAAAGUUUAUCGAAAAAGUAAAUUAUUAAUAUAGAAGACUAUAACUCAAUAAUUUAAAAGGAAUUCUUUCGAAACUUUGUAAUUUAAAAGUUAAGCCAUAAAAAAAUCAUUAGAAUAUAUGUCAAUUUUUAAUAUGUCAAUUUUUUAUAUAACUUUAAUAAUUUAAAAUUUGAUUUAUAAAAAAUUAAUUAAUUUAAACUUUGAAAAAAAAACAAUUUUUUAUCGUAUAUGACACAACUUUGCAUAUUUAUACGUUCCUUUGUAGACCCGAAAUAAGUCAGAGAAAAGAAAAUGGAGUUCUUAUUCAUAAUCACCUGCUUACUCUGCAUCUUCACCACCUUCGCCAACCUCCUCCGUUUCAAAUCCAAAAAAGCUCUGAUCAAACUCCCGCCGGGACCUCUCCGACUUCCAAUCAUAGGCAACCUCCACAAUCUAUGCGACCAACCCCACAAAUCA
rnacentral:lncRNA from 1 species